UCUCUUAAACACAUUUCACAAACUUUUUGAUAAUUGACAAUGGGGUGUGUAUGUGAUUCCCCACCAGCUUUUGGACUCUCCCGUAGUUCUCCUUUUUCUCGUCCAAUUUUCCCAUCAACUGUACUGAGGUUGUAGCAUGGGAAUUCUGACUCUUCCUUCUUGACAGGAUGAGGGAGACAGAUGACUGAGCUCUGGCUUUUUUCCAGGAUGCAAGACAGGAGACACUGUGACCCACAGGAAGCUUCCUUCUGGAGAAACACAACAGAGUCCUGUCUGAGAGACUUCCGAAAGAGUGCGCUGCCUGCCCACAGGGCUGGAGUGGUGGCUUGGCCUUGGCUUGGGUUCAUAAACAUUUUCCCUUCAUUAUGCAGACAUUUAGCUUCAGUUAGGAGUCAAUGUUGCCUUAUAUGGAUGUCAGGAGGAGGAGUUUAUCCUGAAUUGUCUGGGAGCACAUUAAAAGUGGUUGCAUGUGUUGUGAUAAAUGGAGCGGAACAGAAGAACAUGAGGCUGUCGGACCUGGGAGCCCAAGACUGCAAUGACACAACCACAAACCAAAGAACAUCUGGAGCCAUCGGCAGCUGGAGAGGUAUAAUCACCUUGGUCAAUGACAGAACAUCUUCCUCAUCCUGAAGGCACUCACAGUUCCCUGACAAGUCUUGAAAGAGACAUGGACAUCCAGGUACCAGAAGCUGCAGACCUCCCAGGAGACUCAACAAAGAGAGGUCUCCACCAGAGUCAUCUCUGGGGCAGUCAAUAUCCCACAUGGAUAUGGGUUGGAGUCCCGGCAGUCCACUUCUCACUCGGCUUCCAAACACAAAGCAAGAAGACUGGAAGUCACAAGAAGAAUAAAACUGAAAUGCAGGGACAUUAAACAACUUGCUACUGAAGAAAUUAAAGAGGAAAUAAACUUUCUUGAAGAAUGAAAAAAUGAAAUCCUGUGGGACACAACAUAUUGACAGGUAAGUCCACGGUUAAAUGCUGACAUUAAGAAAAAAAAAAGUAUUGAAGAUCUAAUAUUGCUUCUCAAAGCCCUUAAAGAACAAAACAAGCUCAAAGUUAUGAGGUGAAAAAUUAGAGCAGAAGUAAGUAAAAUUGAAACUAA